rfam:Lachnospiraceae bacterium 3-1 genomic scaffold acPFp-supercont1.1, whole genome shotgun sequence.
UCCGGUGGCGAUGCGCUUAAGGGAAACACCCGUGCCCAUCCCGAACACGAUGGUUAAGGCUUAAGCGGCCGAUGGUACUGUAUUGGAGACGAUAUGGGAGAGCAGGUGGCUGCCGGAA